UUUUUCUGCAUAAAUAAAUGAAAAUUAUUUGCAACAAUGAGUUGCAACAUGCAAGACAAUGCCAGUGGUACAGGCAAUGGCUGUGAUCUCCUAGACCAUUAUGAGAACUGCCCACAUGAACUCCCAGGUACCUGUACGUACGACUCAUCUACCACAGAACCCAGCCAAGCCUUAUUUUUAUAUAUAUUCUUUCUCCAUGCACCUUGUGGAAUAGUGAUAUCCAUUUAUUCACAGACAUGAUGGAGGAGACUCGGAUGAGGGACACAAGGUUACCAGGAGCACCCAUCAGCAAAACAGUCAUCUAAUUGGCUUUCCCCAGCAUUCAAGACUGUUCAUUCUGCACUAGCCUGGACAGAAUGUCUGCAACCUUUCCUUGAAAAGAAAACAUCCCACUGCCCCACUGGAGCCUUGGGAAGAAUUUGCGUGGGUAGAGACAUGCAAGAAACAUGCCAGAAGCAACAAGAGUAGUACAAAAGAGAGAAUUAUUCUCUGGCUCAGAAAUACUGUGAUGCAAACCUUGGUGUUGGCAGCUAUUUCCACAGCUUUUUCAGUGGCUACAGCAUCGCUGGGGUAAAACACAGUGGAAUUUGGAAUAGCCCGGAA